UGCAACAGGCCUUGUUGUACUGUAGGCUCACCACCAGCUUCACGCAAGAACAUGUGCUGGAAGUCCGCUGUUACAGAAUUGCCGUGUUGGUAGAUAUUGCGUGCAUUGUAUACUUAUCCGCCUUUAAAAUUCGUCUACGGGAUAGUUUCCGCGUGUCGGGAAGUUCUGCUGCUUUGAUCGAGUGGCGGACGAUGACUCGCCGUACGUGUCCGCUCCAAAUAGCCACAUCGGACGCGCGCCUUGUGUUCGCUCUGAAAAGUGAUUUCUUCCUCCAUUUAUCGAUUACUCGUGUUGUUCGCGCGAUUCAAUGUCGAGUGUACUUCCGAGGACAGUCCACGACCCCUGCUGUGACAACAAGUGACUGAUGUUAUGCGAGAACGUGAGCUUUUUGACGGGCGACUGAAGAGUGCUCAGCCAAUGUCAAAACUUCGGAAGUGGUGGCCCGGGCGGCUUGUUGGCACAGCGAGGAUGACGAACCAGAGACCCGAUAGGCAGCGAUGACAGCUGUUCAUGGUCCCGAAACAGAGGACAGGUUCCAGUGCACGAUUGGAGCGGUCUUCCUGCAAGCCCUAUUGAGCCUUAUUAAGUGGUUUUAAAUACAGCAGUGGUGCCACCACAAUGGUGCUACAAGAGACCCUAUCAUCAGUGCAAAGUCCAAAAUCAAAUAGAAAUGCAGUUAUUCCUGGAAAUGUCUCAUUUGGUGUUUCUUUGUUUGUAAUUAUAAAACAGCACUUUUGCAAGAAUUGUAAACAA
rnacentral:lncRNA from 1 species